UCAAACUUGGUCAUUUAGAGGAAGUAAAAGUCGUAACAAGGUUUCCGUAGGUGAACCUGCGGAAGGAUCAUUAAUGGGUACUAGGGCCUCUAGCCCUUACUCCCACCCUAUGUGAAUAUUAAAUGUUGCCUUGGCGGGCCGGGGGUAUAGCCCCUGCCGGCCCUUUUGCUGGAGAGCGCCCGCCGAAGGACAGCCUUCAAAACUCUUUAGCCUGAACCUAAAUCUGAGCAUGCGAAGAAUUAAAAAGUAAAAAACUUUCAACAACGGAUCUCUUGGUUCUGGCAUCGAUGAAGAACGCAGC
rnacentral:misc_RNA from 1 species